CCCUUCUUCCCUCUAGUAUUUGUCUGUUUGUCUCUCCAUCUAUCUAUUGUCUGUUUUUUAAAUGUUUGUAUAUAUUGUAUAUUCAAGAGGGUUUUUUUUUUCCUAUGGACGUGUCUGGAAGGUUCAUGGAAUGGAAACUUACAGUAACUGUUGCUUUGUCGUAUGGACUAACCCAAGUAGUAGCAAUGAAUGCAUUCUGUCUUCGCGAUCAACUGGCUAUCCUUCUGUGCUUAUUGUGCCACUGUGUUUUGCUUCACAAGAGCAAGAAGACAGUAGCUUUCAGCAGUGAUAAGAGUUUCAAUGUGCUGAUUAGAAUAAUCCAAAGAUGUAUAAAGAUGCUCCUUUAAAUCUGCCCCCUGAUGGGAAAGAGAAUGGAGUAACACGAAUCCCCAGAAGGGGCAGUAAUUCUGCUAAUGAUUUCUUUAGAUCUCAUGCUCUAGUAGCUGUCUCAUUUAGCAGAAUUCUGGGUAAUUUACAGCCUAUUUGCACAUGCUCAGCAGAGACUGAGGAGGAGGAAGAAAACAAGCAGAAUGGGAUGCUUCCAUUGUUGCCCACACUUCCCGGCUCAAGAGGUGAAGUAAGAGAGAUUGCCAUCAUUUUUCUCAGUGACACUCCGGCUCCUUUGCCCCGUUCAGCUCACUCCCCCGGAGAAGAAUGGAAUGACAUCAUCUCCUGACUCGGCUUCACACCCAAGAGAAAGCAAUGGUGAACUGCAUGGCAAAUACAUUCAAGAGUAAUUUCCCCGAGAAUCCUAUAGGUCAAUAGCCAGAUGGAAUUUGAAAGUCACAUUUCAGUCCAUUUCAGAAAUUGACUCCUAUGCUUUCAGAAGGACUUAACCGAAACAGAUUGAUGGAGGGGGAGCUCAACAAAGUGUAGAGUAUGUAGCAGGUUCAAAAUGAAACCAAUGCAAUGCCAAAAAACAAACAAACAAACAAAAAACACAACCAUUGUCUUCACUCUGAACUGGCUUCAUUUUUCCUCCAUGACAUGAGCCACUGAUUUACACUGCGUGUACCUUGUACCCUGUUCUUUUUUCUGUUUGCUUGCUUGCCUACUCAAGUGUAAGCCCAAUUUAGUCCAGUGAGAUUGACUCCCUAGUAAGUGUGUUCCCUUGGUCUUCUGCCAGGAAUAGUAUCCCACUAUGCUUGUUAUUGUGAUAAGAAGUUUAAGCCACAACACAACAUUAUUAACUGUUAACAU
rnacentral:lncRNA from 1 species